rnacentral:rRNA from 1 species
UACGGGGGGGGUAAGCGUUGUUCGGAAUUACUGGGCGUAAAGGGCUCGUAGGCGGCCAACUAAGUCAGACGUGAAAUCCCUCAGCUUAACUGGGGAACUGCGUCUGAUACUGGAUGGCUUGGAUUCGGGAGAGGAAUGCGGAAUUCCAGGUGUAGCGGUGAAAUGCGUAGAUAUCUGGAGGAACACCGGUGGCGAAGGCGGCAUUCUGGACCGACACUGACACUGAGGAGCGAAAGCCAGGGGAGCAAACGGG